GGCGAUUGCACCUCGUUGAUUUCUCCAUCCCGUAUUACUGUUUUGAGGAUUCAGUUCUUCGUACACUGCCCACUCUCUGCGAUCGUCUAUCUGCCCGUGUAAGUUACAUACUGUUAACAUUAAUGGGAGACAACAUUAAUAGCAAACAAUACAAAGUGGUGCAAGUUUAGCACCCUAAAGUUGACUUUGAAAAAGUGGCAUGGGAUAAUUUUUUUUUUGGUCCUUGAGAUAAUGGGCUAUUUAUUGUUUGGUCCUUAAACCUCAACUAUAAAUAGGCCUUCUCAUUUCUCAUUUCAAUUCAUCCUAACCAAUCUUUCUCUCUUAGUUUUCUCUCUUCUCCCAUUUGAGAAUUCUUAAGGAAUUCUAUUUGUUUGUAAUACUUUGGAGAUAGUAAAGUUAUCAUCUGGUGUUAGUGCCCGAGGACGUAGGCAUAAGUUACCGAACCUCGUUAAAUCUCUUGUGUUCUUUCUUGUCCUAUUUUUCUUUCAAUAUUUGAGGGUAUAAUAGUAGUAUUUAAUUGUGCUAUUAAAUUACUAUAGAAGGGAUAUUCUGUCUAAAGAAAGACUUGGUAUUUAAGAGAUCCAUGUGAUCCACCUCUCUUCCCUGGGAAUUGAACUUUGUGUGAUUUUUUAGUACAAUAAUUUACACGCUUCCGACCCUAUUGGAAUAACAAGUGGUAUCAAGAGCCGAAGGUUAAUCGUAGUAUGCUCUGUGGUUGCAGUUUAAACUGAUCUUCCACAUCAGAAAAGAUUUCCUUAGGUAUAUAUUGAAAGAUUAUGGAGAAAACGGUCGGUGUAGGAGCUUCAACAUCGUCCAUGUGGACAAGACCGACAAUUGCAAAUGAAAGACUGGCCGUGGAGAUCUUUGAUGGCACAGGCCAUUUUGGUAUGUGGCAAAGUGAGGUUCUAGAUGCCCUUUUUCAGCAGAGUCUAGACAUUGCCAUUGAUGAAGAAAAACCAGAUGAUGUACAUCAGAAAGAUUGGAAGGCGAUCAAUCGGUUGGCAUGUGGCACAAUUCGAUCAUGCCUUUCUCGAGAGCAGAGGUAUGCUUUUUCAAAGGAGACUUCUGCAAAUAAGUUGUGGGUGGCACUUGAAGAAAAUUUUUUGAAGAAAAACAGUCAAAGUAAGCUCCACUUGAAGAAAAGACUGUUUCGCUUCACAUACGUCCCAAGUACCACAAUGAAUGAUCACAUCACCAAAUUUAAUCAAUUAGUCACUGAUUUGCUGAAUAUGGAUGAGACAUUCAAAGAUGAAGAUUUGGCUUUGAUGCUGUUGGGGUCACUUCCUGAGGAGUUUGAGUUCCUAGAAACUACUCUACUUCAUGGCAGGAGUGAUAUAUCUCUGAGCGAAGUCUGUGCGGCCUUAUACUGUUAUGAACAGAGAAAGAAGGACAAACAGAAAAACUCAAUCAGAGAUAAAGAAGCUUUAGUAGUCCGAGGUCGUUCAUACACUCGGAAGAAAACUCAAAAGGGGAGAUCAAAGUCAAAGUCCAGACUCGGGAAAGAUGAAUGUGCUUUUUGUCAUGAGAAAGGCCACUGGAAGAAAAAUUGUCCAAAGCUGAAGAAUAAGGGAAAAGCUGCUGUAGAUGCUUGUGUUGCUAAGCAUGAUACUAGUGACUCUGAACUAUCACUGGUUGCAUCAUCAUCGUCGUUCCAUUCAGAUGAGUGGAUAUUGGAUUCGGGUUGUACCUAUCAUAUGUCCCCUAACCGGGAGUGGUUCUCUGAUUUAGUAGAACUAAAUGGAGGAGUUGUUUAUAUGGGCAAUGACAAUGCCUGUAAAACUGUUGGGAUAGGUUCAAUCCAAUUAAAGAAUAAAGAUGGAUAAACCAGAGUUCUGACUGAUGUUCGGUACGUGCCCAGUUUGAAGAAAAAUCUCAUCUCAUUGGGAGCCUUGGAAUCCAAUGGUUCAGUUGUUACUAUGAUAGAUGGGGUUUUGAAAGUGACAUCUGGCGCACUUGUGAUAUUGAAGGGCAUCAGGAAAAAUAACUUGUAUUACUACCAAGGUAGUACAGUUAUUGGAGCAGUCGCUGCAGCUUCCGGCAACAAAGAAUUGGACUCAAUACAGUUGUGGCAUAUGAAGUUGGGACAUGCCAGCGAAAAAUCCUUGCAAAUUCUAGCAAAGCAAGGAUUGUUGAAAGGUGCAAAGGCUUGCAAAUUAAAAUUUUGUGAGCACUGUGUUCUGGGAAAGCAAAAGAGAUUGAAAUUCGGCACUGCUAUCCAUAAUACAAAAGGUAUUUUGGAAUAUAUUCACUCAAAUGUGUGGGGGCCUUCCAAGACACCUUCAUUGGGAGGAAAACACUACUUUGUUACUUUUGUUGAUGACUUUUCCAGAAGAGUUUGGGUGUAUACCAUGAAAACUAAAGAUGAAGUGCUUGGAGUUUUUCUUAAAUGGAAAACUAUGAUCGAAAACCAGACUAGCAAGAAAAUCAAGCGGCUUAGGACGGACAAUGGAGGGGAAUAUAAAAGUGAUCCGUUCUUCGAUGUGUGCCAAGAGUAUGGUAUUGUUCGACACUUUACAGUUAGGGAUACACCACAACAGAAUGGAUUGGCAGAGCGUAUGAAUCGAACAUUGCUGGAGAAAGUUCGAUGUAUGUUGUCCAAUGCUGGGUUGGGCAAGCAAUUUUGGGCUGAGGCUGUGACAUACGCUGGCCAUCUUGUUAAUCGUUUGCCAUCAUCUGUAUUAGAAAGAAAAACUCCUAUGGAGGUAUGGUCUGGAAAACCGGCUACAGAUUAUGAUUCCUUACAUGUGUUUGGAACCACUGCAUAUUACCAUGUGAAGGAGUCAAAGUUAGAUCCGAGGGCAAAGAAAGCUCUCUUUAUGGGAAUCACUUCUGGAGUGAAGGGAUUUCGUCUUUGGUGCUUAAGCACAAAGAAAAUGAUCUGUAGCAGAGAUGUUACCUUUGAUGAAUCUACCACAUUGAAAAAGGUAGCAGAUAAAGAUAUUCAGACGAGCAAUACUCCACAGCAGGUGGAGUGUACUCCAAAACAGGUGGAGUUUGAGCAGAUGGGGAUUUGCCCAGUUAAUAAGUCUAAUUCUCCAGCCACAAUGGAGGAAUUAGAGGUUGAAGAGGUUCUGACCCAAGAACCACUAAGUACACCAGAACCAGUUGCAGUUGCAAGGCCACGGAGAGAAAUUCGUAAACCUGCUCGAUUUACUGAUAUGGUGGCCUACGCCCUUCCCGUUGUUGAUGAUAUUCCUAUCACUUAUCAAGAAGCAAUGCAAAGCUUAGAAAGUGAUAAAUGGAAAAGCGCCAUGGAUGAAGAAAUGCAGUCUCUCCGGAAGAACAAUACUUGGGAGUUGGCGCAAUUACCGAAAGGUAAAAGGGCAAUCGGAUGCAAGUGGGUAUUCGCAAAGAAAGAUGGAUCUCCUAGCAAGAAGGAUAUUCGCUACAAGGCAAGAUUGGUAGCUAAAGGCUACGCUCAGAAGGAGGGAAUUGACUACAAUGAUGUAUUUUCCCCUGUUGUGAAGCAUUCCUCCAUUAGAAUUUUGUUGGCCUUGGUAGCACAGUUGAAUUUGGAGCUAGCUCAACUUGAUGUUAAGACGGCUUUCUUGCAUGGUGAGUUAGAAGAGGAGAUCUAUAUGACUCAGCCAGAAGGAUACACAGAUGCUGGUGGUAGAAAUUGGGUUUGUAAGCUUAACAAAUCGCUAUAUGGAUUGAAGCAAUCCCCGAGGCAGUGGUACAAGCGAUUUGAUAGCUUUAUGAGAAGGCAGAAGUACACAAGAAGCAAAUAUGACAAUUGUGUAUAUUUGCAGAAGCUGCAUGACGGAUCUUUCAUUUAUCUACUCUUGUAUGUUGAUGAUAUGUUAAUCGCUUCGAAGAGCCAAAAUGAGAUAGAUAAGCUGAAGGCUCAGUUGAAUCAAGAGUUCGAGAUGAAAGAUCUAGGUGAGGCCAAGAAGAUUCUCGGCAUGGAGAUAAGUAGAGAUAGACCGAGAGGCAAGCUCUGUUUAAAUCAGAAGCAAUAUCUGAAAAAGGUAUUACAAUGUUUUGGUGUAAAUGAAAACACAAAACAUGUAAGUACCCCACUUGCUUCUCAUUUGAAACUUAGUGCUCAAUUAUCUCCGAAGACUGAAGAUGAAAGAGAAUAUAUGGCGAAAGUCCCAUAUGCUAAUGCAGUUGGGAGUUUGAUGUAUGCGAUGGUGUGUACGAGGCCUGACAUUUCACAAACUGUUGGAGUUGUGAGCAGGUAUAUGCAUGAUCCUGGAAAAGGACAUUGGCAAGCUGUGAAAUAGAUUCUACGGUAUCUUCGAAAAACCGUAGAUGUUGGUUUAAUUUUUGAACAGGAUGAAGCACUUGGUCAGUUUGUAGUUGGAUAUGUUGAUUCCGACUUUGCUGGUGAUUUAGAUAAACGUCGUUCAACUACGGGGUAUCUGUUUACUCUUGCGAAAGCCCCAGUGAGUUGGAAGUCUACCUUACAGACUACAGUAGCUGUGUCUACUACAGAGGCAGAAUAUAUGGCAGUUACAGAAGCUGUUAAGGAGGCUAUUUGGCUUAAUGGAUUAUUGAAAGACUUAGGAGUUGUUCAAAGUCACAUAAGUUUAUAUUGUGACAGUCAGAGCGCUAUUCAUUUAGCGAAAAAUCAAGUCUAUCAUUCAAGAACCAAGCAUAUCGACGUAAGAUAUCACUUUGUGCGGGAAGUCUUUGAAAAAGGAAAAAUUCUACUUCAGAAGAUUCUGACAGCAGAUAAUCCCGCAGAUAUGAUGACCAAGGUGGUAACAACAAUCAAGUUUAAUCAUUGUUUGAACUUGAUUAACAUCCUGAGAAUUUGAGCACCUUCAGGUGUAUGGCGCUCGAGAGCGCAUUUGUAGGCACUACAAAGGAUAGCUUUAUCGAAUUUGGGGAGUUGAAGGAAGUGUGUGAAGAUGUGAUUAUCCUAAUCAAAUCUUCAAGGUGGAGAUUGUUAACAUUAAUGGGAGACAACAUUAAUGGCAAACAAUACAAAGUGGUGCAAGUUUAGCACCCUAAAGUUGACUUUGAAAAAGUGGCAUGGGAUAAUUUUUUUUUGGUCCUUGAGAUAAUGGGCUAUUUAUUGUUUGGUCCUUAAACCUCAACUAUAAAUAGGCCUUCUCAUUUCUCAUUUCAAUUCAUCCUAACCAAUCUUUCUCUCUUAGUUUUCUCUCUUCUCCCAUUUGAGAAUUCUUAAGGAAUUCUAUUUGUUUGUAAUACUUUGGAGAUAGUAAAGUUAUCAUCUGGUGUUAGUGCCCGAGGACGUAGGUAUAAUUUACCGAACCUCGUUAAAUCUCUUGUGUUCUUUCUUGUCCUAUUUUUCUUUCAAUAUUUGAGGGUAUAAUAGUAGUAUUUAAUUGUGCUAUUAAAUUACUAUAGAAGGGAUAUUCUGUCUAAGGAAAGACUUGGUAUUUAAGAGAUCCAUGUGAUCCACCUCUCUUCCCUGGAAAUUGAACUUUGUGUGAUUUUUUAGUACAAUAAUUUACACGCUUCCGACCCUAUUGGAACAACACAUACUUCCACCGUUUCUGAAAAAAACAUGUAGAUUUCAAAAGAAGUAGAGAAGAAGCCAAGGAACUUGAAAAAAAGUUAGGGGAUGAGUUUAAAGUGGUUUACGCCAAUAGUUUGGCAGAAGUGGAUGAAUGUGAAAUAGAUUCCAAAAGAAGUAGAGAAGAUGACAUGGUGGUGGUUUACUAUAAAUUCAAACUUCACAAGUUGCUAAUAGAUGCAAAAGCAAUGAAGAGAGAGUUGGUGAGAUUGAGGGAGAUAAAUCCGACGGCUGUAAUCAUGCUAGACUUUUAUGGUAAUCAUAAUGACUCCAAUUUCUUGAGAUGUUUAGAGGAUUCUUUUCGGUAUUACUCCACCAGUUCCAUUUAUUUUGAUGAUGAGUAUCAGUGGGAGUUGAGCAGAGAUGCAUGGGAAGGUACUAAUGUAAUUAGGCGGCACCCAACGUUGAGUGAAUGGCAAUGGCUGGUUUUACUCGAAUUCCAUUAAUCCACAACAAAGAUAUUCUUAUGGUCCAGGAUAAAUGUUUGCUAGAAAUAAUGGGGGAGGAAGAAGAGUGUUUGAUGAUAGGUUACAAGAAAUGCCCAAUGUUUUUCUUAUCGGCAUGGAAACCCAAUGUUGAAGAUGGACACUUCAAUUCCAGUUCCACCAGCCAUAAGUUUGGACAAGGUACUUUUCUUUUUCUUUUUUCAAUUUAUAUAUACAUUUGUGUUCCUUUUUAUUAAUAUAUGAAUCUGUAUUUAAUGCAUUAAAUACCUAAAAAUUUAUAUAGAAAUAGCAAAUCAUAUGAUACAUACUUGUUUUAAAAUCACUUAAAUAAAUAUGAUCUAUUUUUAAUAUAUAACAUGAUGUUGUUGACUAUCUAACAGUAUAUCAAAUAAAAAUUAUAUAUACUUGAGAAGGGAUAACUUUUAUAAACUUAUCUAAAAAUACGAGAUUUUGACAUUUACAAAAUACGAGAUUUUGGAUUAAAACAAUUAAUUAUAGAAUUUUUUUAUUUUAAUUGUAUUAAAUAGUUAGUAAGCUAAUAUUUUUUAUAACUAAAUUUAGAAGUUAAAUAAUAGAGAAGUUAACGUCCUCAAAAGAGAACGUGUCAUAAAAUGGAGGCCGCACAUCUACAGUUUAUCCCAUGUUCAAAUUACAUAUAGACGCACUAGGUCCCCGCUUACACCCGGGUUUCUAAUUUUUUAAAUAAAAACUUAAUUUUUUUAAAUUUAUUAAAUAAUAAAUAUUAUUUAUUAAAAAAUUUAUUAUUAUGAAAUUACAUUUAUGAUAAUUAUUGAGAUGUUUGGUACUAAUUAAUUUAAAUCAAUUCAAAAAUUAAAACACUCAUUUCCAAAUAAAUUAUGUUUAAAUCUUAAAUCAUACUACCAAUGUACAUAUAGAUUAGUUUCUUUAAAUAUAUUAUUUAAACUAAAAAUAAUAAUUCAUAAGCAUAACAUAACAUGAAAAUUAAUUAAAAUGUAGCAUAAAUAAAAAAUUAAUAAAUAAACAUAUUAAAAUAUACAUAAAAGACAAACUAUUUUUAUUUUUUUCCCUUUUCCGCUAAUUUCUUUUUCAACUCUUCCAUUUUAUUUUUUCUUGGGUUAAAGUAACUUUUAGUACUUAAACUUGAUAGUUUUUUUCACCAUGGUCCCUAACUGUUUUUGGUCCACUUUGUUUUGGAAUUUAAUAGCUUUUCUCAAUUUAAUCCCUGAACUUAGAUCUGUGACAAAUGUGGAUUAAAAAAGUGGAAAGACCAAAUUGAAAACCUAUCAAAUUCAAGGACUAUAGGCUACUUUAUCCCUUUCUUCCUUUAUCUUUGUUACUCGUUUCAUUUUGAACAAUAAAUAAGUAUUCGGUGUACUAGUAAGACACAUUACACUUUCAAUAAAAUAACGCAAAUUUGAACAUCGAAAAUGAUAUUGUAGAGAAGCAAGAAUUGUAGAGAAGGUUAUCUCAACUUUGCCUGAGAGAUAUGAACGCCAAGAUUUCUUCCCUUGAAGACUCGAGAGAUCUAACUAGCAUCUUUUUGACUGAGCUGAUCAAUGAUCUUUAUGCACAAGAGCAAAGAAGGGCCAACAGGCAAAAGGAUAAAGAAGAAGGUGCCUUCUAAGCCAAGAGCAGACCUGCCUCGAGCUUCUCUGGCUACAAAGGGAAGAAGGCCUGGUCUGACAAGCCCAGAAGAGAUGGAGCAAGGAGGAGAUAUCAACCUUGCCCACACUGCAAAAGGCUCAGUCAUCCAGGAGAAAAUUGUUGGUUUAGGCCUGAUGUGCAGUGCAAAGUUUGGAAAAAGAUGAUUCAUGCUGAGAAAGUUUGCAGAAACAAAGGCAAGCUGAGACAAAACCAAACUCAACAGUCAAGAGCUGAAGCUCAAGUGGCAGAAGAAGGCAGUGACCAAGAAGUGCAAGUUUUUGUUGCUAAGCUGCCAAAGGAAAAGCCACAAAAAUUAAAAUAAUGUUAAGAUAACUAUAUAAAAAAUUUUAAUAAAUAAAAAAUUAAUAAACUUAUUAAAUAUUAAAAUAAUAUAAUAUAAUAUAAAUAUUAAAAAAAUUUUAAAUGAUAUGAAUAGUUGUAAAAUAAGGUAAAAUUUUAAACUUAUGUUUGGACUUUGGAGAAAUAUAUUAAUAUUGAUUAAGCACCACCCCGAUCAUCACCCCUGCCGCAAACCAACAUUUCUAUUGUUUCCAUUUUUUAAGGUCAAUUGCAUUACUUUCUUUUCUUGUGCUAAUAACCACCAAAUGUUUGGAACUUGUAAAUGCGACACUUUCCUUUGAAUUCAAUCACUUCAAAGAAGCGUCCACUUUAUCUGUUCAACUUGAAAAUCAGAAACUCAACCAACAAUGGCGAUUUCGCUGACACUCUCAUGUUCAUGGCAAUAGCUUUACUUUCCCAUUACUCUUCAAAGCCUGCGCUUCCCUUAAUUCUCUUCAUGAUGGUACAAAGCUCCAUGCCCACGUGCUUCAGCUUGGUUUUCAACAAGACAUCUUCGUACAAACAUCUCUUCUCGAUAUGUACUCGAAAUGCUCUGACUUGGCCUCUGCACGGAAUGUGUUCGACGAAAUGGUUAUGAGAAAUGUUGUUUGUUGGAACACUAUGAUUUCUGCUUAUUGUCGUUGUUUCCGUGUGAUGGAAGCAAUGAGUUUGUUGAAAGAAAUGUGGGUUAUUGGUUUUGAGCUGAAUGCUUCCACUUUUGUUAGUGUUAUAGCUGCUUGCACUAAUCUUCGACGAGGCUUAUCAAUGCACUGUUGUGUGUUCAAGCUUGGGUUGCAACAUUGCGAGAUACCUUUAGCGAAUUCGGUUGUGAAUAUGUAUGUUAAAUUUGGGUUAAUUGAUGAUGCUCGUUCUAUUUUUGAUACAGUGGAUGAAAGAUCGAUCCUUUCAUGGACUACUAUUAUUGGUGGCUAUGUAAGUGUUGGGAAUGUUGGGGAAGCAUUCAAUCUUUUUAAUAGAAUGAGACAAAUGGGGUGUGUUAGUCAAGAUAUGGUGCCGUUUGUUAAGAUCAUUUUGGGUUGUGUGAAAUCUGGGAAUUUGUUAUUGGCAUCAUCAGUUCAUUCCCUUGUUCUAAAAAGUGGAUUUCAUGGUAAAGCUUUGAUCGAUAACUCAGUUCUUAAUAUGUAUUCAAAAUGUGGUGACAUUGUGUCGGCUCAACGAGUUUUCGAAAUGGUAGAUGAGAAAUGUAUUUUCUUGUGGACAUCGAUGAUUGCAGCUAAUACUCAGCAUGGUUACCCUGCUGAAGCAUUGGAUUUAUUCAAGAGUUUAUUAAGAACCGAUCUUAAACCAAAUGAAGCUACCAUUGCCAGCAUACUCUCUGCUUGUGCUGAUUUGGGGUCACUGAGCAUCGGGAACGAGAUUGAACAUUAUGUGAAAUUGAAUGGGUUGGCGUCAAAUCAGCAGGUCCAGACCUCAUUGAUUCACAUGUACUGUAAAUGUGGGAGGAUAGACAAGGCAGAAAAAGUAUUUGCAGGAGUGUUACAUAAAGACUUAGCUAUUUGGAGUUCCAUGAUAAACGGUUACGCGAUUCACGGAAUGGGUAACGAGGCUCUGAAACUAUUUCACCGGAUGCAGAUAACCAAACCUUGCAGCCUAGAUCAUGUUGUUUUCACAAGCAUAUUUUUGGCUUGCAGUCAUUCAGGGUUGGUAGAAGAUGGAUUGAAGUACUUCAAAAGCAUGAAAGACGAUUACAGAAUAGAGCCCGGAAUAGAGCAUUAUACUUGCUUGGUUGAUCUCCUUGGACGAGCUGGUCACUUUGACUUGGCUUUGAAAACCAUCCAAGAGAUGCCUCUGCAAGUACAAGCUCAAGUUUGGGCUCCAUUGCUUAGUUCAUGUAGGAAACAUCGUAAUAUCGAACUCGGUGAAUAUGUAGCCAAGAAAUUGUUAGAUUUAAAUCCCGGAAACACCAGCAGUUAUGUUUUGAUGGCUAAUAUAUAUACAUCAGCUGGUAAGUGGAAGGAAGCAGCUAAAACAAGAAGCAUGAUGAGGAAUAAAGGAUCGGUUAAAGAACCCGGUUGGAGCCAGAUCGAGAUCAAUGGCUCGGUACAUGUUUUUAUGGCCGGAGAUAGAUCACAUCAUCGGUCUGCUAGUAUCUAUGAAAAGUUGAAUGAGCUUAAUACAAAACUUAAAGAAGCCGGAUAUGUUGCUGAAACAGAUAUGGUAGUUCAUGACUUGGAAAAUGAAGACAAAGAGGAGUCUAUGAAGGUUCAUAGUGAACGAUUGGCUGUCGCUUGGGGACUUAUCGGUACUGAGCCAGGAACUACUCUUACGAUCAUAAAGAACCUACAAACUUGUGGUGAUUGUCACUCGUUUUUGAAGUUUACUUCCAAGGUUACAGGCAGGCAUCUUAUUGUGAGAGACGGACAACGGUUCCACCAUUUUCUAUUGGGUUCAUGUUCUUGCAAGGAUUUCUGGUGAAGUUCUUGGGAUUAUUUAAUCUUUGUCUUGAAAAGAACGUGGUCUCUGAAAAGACAUCGGGGUAUUUAGUGGACAAUGGCAAUGAGAGGAAGGCUCUGUUAGUCAUUUGGUGCUUGUGUUAUGUUGGGUUCAUAAUUUAAGCAUUAUGAAUUGCUGAAAUUAUCAUUCUGGUUCUGCUGAGAAAGGGAUACCUCCAAUGUUACUGGGAUUUGGAUACGAGUGUUUAUACAAAUAUUUGUACAGCACAAAAAUGUUUGCAUGGUUUUUAAAAAUUGUAGUAAAAAUCAAUUGAAUAAGAUUGAAGCACAUUUCUCAUCACCAUGGAAAUGAAUUUGAUGAUGGUUUAAUUUUUCUUUUGGUGAUCACCUUCCUUCGCAUUUGAAAUAAUACUGUGUUUAUUGCUCUUUAAUUAUGAGGGACAUUGAGUUUGGGUGAAACAAAUGAAGGUAAAUGGACAGAACAGAAGCAAUAAGCUUGCUCGAUAGAAUGAUGAAUGAUGUCCAUCCUAAUGUAGUGACUUUCAAUUCUUUAAUCGAUGCAUUAUGCAAGGAAAAGAGGAUCGGAUAAGUUAUUACCAUGAUAGAACUAUCGAGUCACUCAUAAUUGGAGUCUGCUUUUUGUUCUUUAUUUUCGAAAAGCAUGGAGAUUGUGGUAAAACAAAUAAUUAUGUUUCUAGUUAAAUCGACAGAAACGGCAAGCUUGCUUUGAUGGAAUGAUGAAUGAAGGAGUCGGUAGUGAGAUUUAGUUCUAUAAUCAAUCCUUUAUACAAGGAAAAGAUGAUUAAAGAAGCCAUUAUUACAUUGAAUUGUCACCUACAAUUUAAUGCAGGGAUUGUGCUUAUAUCAAGUUUUGGAUGGCACAAGGGUUCAUCCAGCCACAAAAUGGAGAAGAAGAUCUAGCAUAUGUUGGCCAUGACCUUGCAUACUCUGUUGCCAGUGUUGCAUUAAUUGAAGUUAUAAGCUUCCAUUAUUUUGUAAUCCCUAGUCAAUUAGUCACUUAUAGUAACAAUGCAUGAACAUGUUUGAUAUUGUAUUUACUUCUGCAGUAUACCUUUGUCAUGUUUAAGAGCAUUGAAGUUUGUUCUUUGGUAGAAGAGAAAUUGUAGUUUUGAAUUACCCAUUGUUAAGGGUGCCAUGAACAUGUUUAGGUGAUUUUGAUUUUUGACUUAUUGGUUUUCACUUAAAGUAUUUAAAAUUAAUCAAAAUUAAUGAUUUAGUUUUUAGUUUUUACCACAACUAUUAAUGAACAUUUUAAUUUUUUUACCGUAAUUUUAUAGUAAUACUAAACACUUGAAAUUUCAAAUUAAUGUCACAAUAAUUUUUAAAAGUGUAUUAUUUUCGAAACUAUGGUUCUGUUUGGUUUAAAAAAAUAUUUUCCAUUUUAUUUUCAUUUUCAAAAAAUUAUUUUAUUUUUUGAAAAUUGAAAAACAUGUUUGAUAAAUUUGAAUAAAAUUUUGUUUUCAAUAAUAAAAAUAUGCAUGUUUUGAACCUAUUUUUAGAAAUAGAAUAAAAAAUGUUGACAUUUAUAAAGAUUAGAACUAGUAUAUUAGAUUUAAUAUUUGAAAAAUUGUAAAAAAAAAGAAAAAAAAAAAAGAGAGAGAAUGUUUUUAGUUUAAACUAUAUAUGUCCAUGAGUCAGGUCAAGUCAAGGUCUAAAUUUAAAAUUUUUAAUGAUUGGGCUCAAGCUUGGUCCAACCAAAUAACCUAUAUAAUUAUUUAUAAAAUAUUAAAAUAUAUCAUUUAAUAUUAAUAUAUAUAUUAUAAUUAAAUUUAAAAUAAAAAUAUUUAAAAAUUAGGCCCAAAGAAAAAAAUCUUUAUCGAAGUUGGGUCGAGCCAGGCAAGCCAUCCAAUCCAUGGACUAGAAAAAUGGGCUAACUAUUUACAAAUAUGAGUAGGUUUGGUCAAAAUUUUAGGCUCGUGUUUAGAGUCAAGGUGGACUUGGACAAACAUAAAAUAUAUUAAUUUCAUGCCUAAGCCUAGCACGAACUUGACUCAACCCGGUUCAUGAACAUCUCUAUUUGGUACCUAUUUUUUUUAGCUAGUUAAUAUUUGAACUUGUAUUCCAUCAACGAAAUUGAUAUCUCUUCACUAACAUCAAUAAUUUGUGUUUGUCGUGACACUAAUAAUGUGCCACGUAGUAAUAUCUCAAUAUAUAACAUGAAAAACAUAAAUAUAAAAUUUUAAAAUUAUAUAAAUUAAUAAAAAAUAAAAAUUUUCAUAUUUAAAUAAUCAUUUAUCUCGAUUUAUUCUUUUAUGUGUUUUAAAUAAUAUUAUAUAUUUUUUAAUUUUUUAUUAUAAAAGAUCCACUUAAUAAAUUGGAAACAACAAAAUAAUAGUUUUGUUUAUAAAAUAUUUAUAUUUCAUCGAGCCUCAAUAUAUAUAUAUAUUACAUGGAGGAUGGAAAUAUUAUGUUAUUAUUACUAAUAAUAUUAUUUAAGUAUAAUAAAAUAUAAUUUUGUUAAGCAAAAAAGGAUAACCCGUAGGUAUAAAAUUUAAUCAAUGCAUGUUAGGUGAUAAUUAAAGUAUCCACUUACCUAAUUUUUUUAAUAAAAAUGAAAAUAAACAAUAAAUAGAACAUGGAAGGUGGGACCAUGAAAUUUUUUUAUUAUUUAUAAAUAGUUAAAAGAUUGUCUUUUAACUAAGUUUCUUUCUCUGUAAAUCUUGGGAGAAUCUUUUUGGAGAAAAAGAAAACAUAAAAGUUAUCCCACUAGAGACUUUGAGAGACCAUGCCUAGUCUUGUUUUUUUCUUCUAAAAAAAUUAUUAUUUAAUAUGUUAAAUGGUGGUUUUUUAAAUUUUACAAGUGAAAUUAAAAAAGUUAUCACGUAUUUUAUUUAUUUUUUAGUUUUUAAAAUAUUACUUUCUCUUAUUUUCUCUUCACUAACAUAUUAAGAACAUAGGACCAUAUAUGCGAAAACUUUACAUUAACAUCAUUUCCAUACUUUUUCAAUAAUAUCAAACUUAAAAAUAUAUUAAAAUCUUGAUGUUCUUACCUUGUCAUAUAUAUUGAUUUCAAUCUUUAACUUGAUUUUCUCUCUCCUCCAGCUUCUAUUUCUUCAAUCCAACUUGAUAUUCUAGCUCCCCAUAGUCUCCUUGUUAUCUUUCUCUCUUGAUGGAUAUGGAAAUUCUCUUGAUUUUUAGAUAAAAAUGGUGAAUUUUUGGUAGAAGGACCAAAUUAUAAAGAAAGCAAAACUUCCUUUCUUUCUCUCUUCCUCUCACGUUGAUGCAUGGAAAAAUGGUGGGAUGGUGGCUUUCAUCUUUCUUUAUUAUAUCAAAAUUCCCCUUUUUGUCGCUUUAUUUCCUUACUUUAUUAUAUCAAAUAUAAUAUCUUACUGUAAAAAUUUUUGGGUAUUACAUUUCAAGAUAGUUGGGCUGCUGUAAACUGAAUCGAGUGAGAAAGGUUCGGAUACAUUGAUAAUUAGGGUUAAGGUAAUAAGGGACUCUCAUUUGGCAGUGAGCAAUGAUCUCCAGAUGACAACGCGAACAACCCUUGCUGCGACGGAGCCUAGAGAAGAGAAGCAGUAGGGUGCGAGAGUUGAUUGGCACUCGACCAUUAAGAUGACGGCUGGGAAAUCGGGGGAGUCAAGGCAGAGGCGAUGAAAUCGAUUUAGGGGUUGCUCGUCUGGUUAGACCUUAAUCGGGGCUUGAGGAACUGCAAGAGGAGAUGGUGACCCCAACGGAAGGAGUCCUUGACUCAAGAGGACAUUCGGUAGUGGUCUUCAAAGAAAAUGGCUAGCCUAGGCUUUCGACAAGAGCAGCAAUAAGCGGAGCUAAAAUUUUGGGGUUUAGAUUAGACCAUAGUAGCCUAAAGAGUUGGAGGGAAGAAUAGUGCAGUUAAAAAAUAGUAAUAAUAAAAAGAAUAAGACCAUAAGGGAGAAAGGGAGUCCAUUUAAGGCCACAUCUCCUAGAGUCCUUUUAGUAGAGUUCGUUAGUAAUAUCAUUGAACUUUUUCAAAGCCAGUUGCAAUAUGGUUUGGCAACAGAAGAAAUGGGUGAGCCUAAAGUCGUGCAAGACAGUGGUCGACAGUAAAAUGAAUGCUCUUUUUAUUUUCAUUAAUGAAUUCCGAAAUUACUGUAUUUACGUGGAAUUGUCAAGGGUGCGCGAACGCGAAGUUUUCGUAUAUUUUCACAGAGUACAACAUGGACCACCGGCUUGACGUUGUUAGUCUAAUGGAAACAAAAGUUAGAUGUGAUAAAGCAAAUGGGAUAAUUGCAAAAUUAGGAUUUCCUUCAAGUGCCCUGCACGGAUUACUUUAAUUGCAUUUGUCUAUGGUAGCCCAAGUAAAACCAAAAGAGGAGCACUUUGGGACGCAUUAAAAAGAACCAUUCCUACUGAGCUUGUCCCUUGGAUGGCAGUGGGAGACUUUAAUGCUAUUCUUUCAAAAAGUGAUAAAAAAGUAGUACUGUUGGAAAACGAUGCCCGUUCUUUGGUGAUUUUGUUGAAACAAAUGAUCUCCAUGAUCUAAGGGCCAUCAUUCACAUGGCAGAAAGGGAUGAUCUUUGAAUGACUUGAUAGAGUGUUGGAGGAUACUGCUUGGAUCCAAACGUUCCCAAAGUGCCUCGUGACACACUUAGUAAAGAUAACAUCAUAUCACAAACCCUUGCUCAUUAACUUCUGCCCAGAGGUUAACCUACCAAAAGAAUGGCCCUUUUUCUUCUUAGCUAGGUGGACACAACAUCAGAACUUCUCAAGAGCUGUAAAAGACUUGUGACAUUAUAAUAGGAGUAUGACUAAUACCUUAAGAAAACUCACUACCGACCCUAAAGAGUGGAAUAAAAGGGUAUAUAGACAUAUUGGGACUUCUAAAUGAAGAUUAAUACAAUCCUUAAACCAAGUACAAAAGGCAAUGGAGCAAUCAAACUCAAGAAUAAUAUCUAGAAAAGAAAUGGAAAUAAGAAAGGAGCUCGAAGAAGUACUAAAUCAUGAAGAAUUACUAUAGAAACAAAAAUCAAGGUACGAUUGGCUUAAAUUGGGAGACAGAAACAUAGUUUUUUCAUAGUAACACAAUGCACAGAAGGAAAGUAAAUCACAUCAAUGCAUUGUGUAAUCGGAAUGGAGAAUGGUUGUAUGACCUGGAUGAAAUUCAGUUAGAAGAAGUUAACUAUUUUUAAAAUCUAUAUGGUAGAAAACCAAUUCUAAUGAUGGGUUUACCUCCUAACUACUUUCCUCAAUUGGAGCAAAAAGAUAUUGAUUUUCUGGGGAAAAAAGUCCCAAAAUGUUGAAAUUAAAACAACACUCUUCGACAUGGCCCCAUUAAAAACCCCCGAAAGUGAUGGAUACCAUGCUAUCUUUUUUCAGAAUCAGUGGGACAACAUUAGAGGCACAGUAUGUGAGUGGGUUAAAUAAGUCUUUAAUGGACGGCCCAUUAACUAAGAUUUAAAUAACACAUUCAUUGUUCUUAUUUCAAAGAUUCCUCAACCUAAGGAGAUUUCACAAUUUCGGCCUAUUAGCUUAUGCUCCAUUCUUUAUAAAUUAGUUAUGAAAAUCAUUGCCAAUAGAUUCAAAGUAAUGUUCCCAAGAUCAUUGCGCAAGAGUAGGCUGGGUUCAUCGCAGGUUGAAAUAUGUCUGAUAAUAUCAUCAUUUCCUAAGAAGUAAUCCACUCUAUGCGAAAGAAAAGUAAAAAAUAGAUGUCUGUCAAAAUGGACUUAGAAAAAAACCUAUGAUUGGAUUUGUUGGGACUUUAUUGAAAGCUCUAUCCAAGCAGCAGGCAUACCAAAUUUUUUUACGAAGAGUGAUUAUAUCCGCCAUUUAACGCCUACCAUGCAGAAACUGUGGAAUGGUGUUCCUACAACAAAGUUUAAACCCAAAAGAGGAGUAUGUCAAAGGUGUCCCUUAUCACCGUGUUUAUUUAUCUUAUGUAUGGAAUGGUUAGGGCAUAGCAUUAAAGCGGCUGAGUCAUCUGGUGAAUAGAGGCCUAUAAAGCUUGCACGAGUGGGACGACAUUUAUCCCACUUAUUUUUUGCAAAUGAUUUGGUGAUUUUUGCUAAAGCAGAUAUAAAGCACGACUUGUUGCUUAAAAGUAUUUUGGAUCAAUUUUGCAGGUUCUCAAGGCAUCAGGUUAACGUACGAAAAACUAAUGUAUUCUUCUCUUAAGGGGUGGAUGAUAAUCUUAGCAAUAACCUGAGUAGGCUAUUAGGUUUUCAAAAAGUCCAAGACUUGGGAUCAUAUCUAAGGAUGCCAUUAUUCUACAAAUGACUCACCAAUGCUACCUUAAGAUUUGUAAUUGAGAAGGUCAGAUCUAAAUUAUGUAAUUGGGAUGCUAAACAAAUUUCUUUGGCAGAAAGAUUCACAUUGGCGUAGUUAGUACUCCUGUCCAUCUUUAAUUACUUUAUGCAAUCUAUGCAAAUCCCGAAAGGGUUAUGUGAGGAAUUGAACACUUAGCAAGGCAAUUCAUCUGUGGACCUAAUAUAGGAAAGCGUAAAAUGACGUUGGUUGAUUAGGGCUCUAUAUGUCAACCACGUUCCUGUAGUGGCUUAGGCCUUCGACACCUAAAAGAUCAAAAUACCUCAUUCUUGUUAAAAUUAGGGUAUAAUCUCGUCACCAAGGAAGAAAACCUAUGGGUUAGGAUAUUGGGCUCAAAAUAUGGGAUAAGAAAGAUGAUUCUCGAAGACAUUAAGAAACAGAAUUGCUCAACUGUAUGGGGAGUGAUAGAAAAGGUUUGGCCAUUGUUGAGAGAAAAUCUAUAUUAGUCCAUAAGAGUAGGAGUAUCGGUUCGGUGUUGGGAGGACUAUUGGGUCCCGAAAAUAGGGCUGUUAAAAAUAUAUGUAUCUCCUACGGAUAGGCUGAUCAAAAGUUGUUCAAAAGUUGUAUACAAAUAUUUGUACAGCACAAAAAUGUUUGCAUGGUUUUUAAAAAUUGUAGUAAAAAUCAAUUGAAUAAGAUUGAAGCACAUUUCUCAUCACCAUGGAAAUGAAUUUGAUGAUGGUUUAAUUUUUCUUUUGGUGAUCACCUUCCUUCGCAUUUGAAAUAAUACUUUGUUUAUUGCACUUUAAUUAUGAGGGACAUUGAGUUUGGGUGAAACAAUUGAAGGUAAAUGGACAGAAUAGAAGCGAUAAGCUUGCUCGAAAGAAUGAUGAAUGGUGUCCAUCCUAAUGUAGUGACUUUCAAUUCUUUAAUCGAUGCAUUAUGCAAGGAAAAGAGGAUCGGAUAAGUUAUUACCAGGAUGGAACUAAGGAGUCACUCAUAAUUGGAGUGUGCUUAUUGUUCUUUAUAUUCGAAAAACAUGGAGAUUGGGGUGAAACAAAUAAUUAUGUUUCUCGUUAAAUCGACAGAAACGGCAAGCUUGCUUUGAUAGAAUGAUGAAUGGAGUCAGUGAGAUUUAGUUCUUUAAUCAAUCCUUUAUACAAGGAAAAGAUUAUUAAAGAAGCCAUUAUUACAUUGAAUUGUCACCUACAAUUUAAUGCAGGGAUUGUGCUUAUAUCAAGUUUUGGAUGGCACAAGGGUUCAUCCAGCCACAAAAUGGAGAAGAAGAUCUAGCAUAUGUUGGCCAUGACCUUGCCUACUCUGUUGCGAGUGUUGUAUUAAUUGAAGUUAUAAGCUUCCAUUGUUUUGUAACCCCUAGUCAAUUAGUUACUUAUGGUAACAAUGCAUGCAUGUACAUGUUUGAUAGUCUAUUUCUGCAGUAUACCUUUGUCAUGUUUAAGAGCAUUGAAGUUUGUUCUUUGGUAGAAGAGAGAUUGUAGUUUUGAAUUACCCAUUGUUAAGGGUGCCAUGAACAUGUUUAGGUGAUUUUGAUUUUUGACUUAUUGGUUUUCACUUAAAAGUAUUUAAAAUUAAUCUAAAUUAAUGAUUUAGUUUUUAGUUUUUACCACAACUAUUAAAAUGAACAUUUUAUUUUUUUUUACCGUAAUUUUAUAGUAAUACUAAACACUUGAAAUUUCAAAUUAAUGUCACAAUCAUUUUUAAAAGUAUAUUAUUUUCCAAACUAUGGUUCUGGUUGGUUUAAAAAAUAUAUUUUCUAUUUUAUUUUCAUUUUCAAAAGAUUAUUUUAUUUUUUGAAAAUUGAAAAACAUGUUUAAUAAAUACGAAUAAAAUUUUCUUUUCAAUAAUAAAAAUAUACAUGUUUUGAACCUAUUUUUAGAAAUAGAAUAUAAAAUUUUAACAUUUAUAAAGAUUAAAACCAGUAUAUUAGAUUUAAUUUUUGAAAAAUUGUAAAAAAAAGAAUAUUUUUAGUUUAAACUAAAUAUGUCCAUGACUCGGGUGAAGUCAAGGCCUAAAUUUAAAAUUUUUAAUGAUUGGGCUCAAGCUUAGUCCAACCAAAUAACCUACAUAACUAUUUAUAAAAUAUUAAAAUAUAUCAUUUAAUAUUAAUAUAUAUUAUAAUUAAAUUUAAAAUAAAAAUAUUUAAAAAUUAGUCCAAAGAAAAAAAUCUUUACUGAAGCUGGGUCGAGCCAGGCAAGUCAUCCAAUCCAUGGACAAGAAAAAAUGGGCUAACUAUUUACAAAUAUGAGUAGGUUUGGUCAAAAUUUUAGGCUCGUAUUUUGAGUUAAGGUGGACUUUGGCAAACAUAAAAUAUAUUAAUUUCAUGCCUAAGCCUAGCACGGACUUGACUCGACCUGGUUUAUGAACAUCUCUAUUUGGUACCUAUUAUUUUUUACCUAGUUGGUAUUUGAACUUGUAUUCCAUCAACGAAAUUGAUAUCUCUUCACUAACAUCAAUAAUUUGUGUUUGACGUGGCACUAAUAAUGUUCCACAUAAUAAUCUCUCAAUAUGUAACAUGAAAAAUAUAAAUAUAAAAUUUUAAAAUUAUAUAAAAUAAUAAAAAAAUAAAAAUUUUCAUAUUUAAAUAAUUAUUUAUUCAGAUUUAUUAUUUUAGGUGUUUUAAAUAAAUUUAUAUAUUUUUAAUUUUUUUAUUAUAAAAGAUCAGUUUUUUUAUUAUUAUAAAAGAUCCACUUAAUAAAUUGGAAACAACAAAAUAAUAAUUUUGUUUAUAAAAUAUUUAUAUUUCACCGAACCUCAAAAAAUACAUAUAUAUUGCAUGGAGGAUGGAACUAUUAUGCUAUUAUAACUAAAGUAUAAUAAAAUAGAAUUUUGUUAAGCAAAAAAGAAAACCGGUAAGUAGAAAAUGUAAUCAAGAUUAGGUCAUAAUUAAAAUAUCCAUUUAUCUUAAUUUUAAAUAAAAAUGCAAAUAAAAGAAAGUGACUGAAAAUGAAAGGAAGAUGGAACGUGGGGAGAAGUGUAGAAAUUGACUAGACUUUGGGAGAAUCUUUUUGCAGAAAAAAGAAAACGUACAAGUGAUUAUUUAACUUUUAGUUUUUAAAAAUUAUUUUAGAAUAAAAUAUAAUUUGGCAAAUAAUUAAAAUCCAAGUGGAAGCCAAAAAUUGAAAAGGCGGUAUCACAUUAUUUCCAGGAACCACGGGAAAAGAAGAAAAUUCAAAGUUGAAACAGUGUAUUCCGCGUGGAGUUUCUCCAUCAAUCAAUGACUCGCGAUUGCUUUUACUUUGGGAUAAACUAACUUCUAAUCUUUGAUUUUGAUAUUUUUUAAUUUAGUCCUUAAUUUUUUGGUUUACUUCAGUUUUAGAAUUUUAUAAAGCUUUUUUAGUUUUAGGUCAUAUGAUAACAUGAGAAUAUGAUAUUGCACUAUGUUAUCACUUAAAAAAUAUAUUUUUCUUUCCAUUUUAAGAAUAUUUAUCUAUUCUUGUAGCACGUUUUUUAGUCUUGUUUAUACAAAUAACCUUAAUUUUACAAGUAAUUUUAUAAAUGAUUUUGUUGUUGUCCUCUCUAAUUUGACGAAUACUCUAAUUUUUUUCAAUUUUUAUCCACCAUUUUGGGUUAUUCGUUGUUAAUUUUCUUAUGGCAUUAAGUGGUUUUGCCAUCACUCUCUCUCUAUAUAUCCGUGGAUAUCAUCUUGCUGCUGUGACUUACUUUUCUACCAUAUUUCUCUUCUGCUUUACCCAAACUCUGUUGAAUCUCACCUUCUUUCAUGGCUUCUUCUUUUUCCGACACCGCCUUGAAUUUGUUACUAUCCUGCGCUGAAGCUAUUGAAGAUGGGGAUCUGAAAAGCGCCGAUGCGUUCCUUCACAACAUCUUGAUUCUUGCUGAUGAGAGACCCUACUUAUUUCAAAGCGAAGUGGUGAAAUACUUUGCGGACGCUCUGGUUCGCCGAGCCUACGGACUGUAUCCCGCUUCUUCCUCCCUACCUUUCCCGGUGGAUCCUGCACCACAUUAUCAUUGUAACAGCUACCUUAUUAAUGGCGUCAUAGCAAAUGUCAUCCAUGAUGCUUUGAUGGGAAUCAGGCGAUUUCACCUCAUUGAUUUCUCCAUCCCGUAUUACUACCGGUUUCAGAAUUCAGUUCUUCGUACACUACCGAACUUCCUGGACUAUCCUCCACCCGUCCGUGUAAGUUACAUACUUCCACCAUUUCUGAAAAAACAUGUAAAGUUCUCACGCCAAAUGGAGUUUUUGACUAGGGAUGCCAAGGAAGUUAAUGUAAAGUUGGAGGAUGUGUUGAAAGUGGUUUAUGGCAAUAGUUUGGCAGAAGUGGAUGAAUGUGAAAUAGAUUUCAAAAGAAGAGAUGAUGAAAUGGUGGUGGUUUACUAUAAAUUUAAACUUGAGAAGUUGGUAAGAGAUGCAAAAGCAAUGGAGAGAGAGUUAGUAAGAUUGAAGGAGAUAAAUCCGACGAUUGUGAUAAUGCUAGACUUUUAUUCUAAUCAUACCCACUCCAAUUUCUUGACAUGUUUCAAGGAUUCAUUUCAGUAUUCCUUGAAGACUGUUGAUUGGUGGUGGGACUUGGACCUUUGUUUUGAUGAGUAUGAGUGCGAGUGCCACGUAGAGGCAUGGGAAGGUAAUAAUGUAAUUAGGCGGCACCCAACUUUGACAGAAUGGCAACAUCUCUUUUCAAUGGCUGGCUUUAGUCGAAUUCCAUUAAACCACAGGAAAGAUAAUCUUAGGGUUGAGAAUAAAUGUUUGCUAGAAAUAAUGGGGGAGGAAGAAGAGUGUUUGAUUUUAGGUUACGGGGGAUGUCCAAUGUUUUUCUUAUCGGCAUGGAAACCCAAAGUUGAAGAUGGACACUUCAAUUCCAAUUCCACCAACCAUAAGUUUGGACAAGGU
rnacentral:lncRNA from 1 species